CGGCGGACGGGUGAGUAAUGUCUGGGAAACUGCCUGAUGGAGGGGGAUAACUACUGGAAACGGUAGCUAAUACCGCAUAACGUCGCAAGACCAAAGAGGGGGACCUUAGGGCCUCUUGCCAUCGGAUGUGCCCAGAUGGGAUUAGCUAGUAGGUGGGGUAACGGCUUACCUAGGCGACGAUCCCUAGCUGGUCUGAGAGGAUGAUCAGCCACACUGGGACUGAGACACGGCCCAG
rnacentral:rRNA from 1 species